AUUGAACGCUGGCGGCAUGCCUUACACAUGCAAGUCGAACGGUAACGGGCCUUCGGGUGCCGACGAGUGGCGAACGGGUGAGUAAUGUAUCGGAACGUACCUUUCAGUGGGGGAUAACGUAGCGAAAGUUACGCUAAUACCGCAUAUUCUGUGAGCAGGAAAGCAGGGGAUCGCAAGACCUUGCGCUGAUUGAGCGGUCGAUAUCAGAUUAGCUAGUUGGUGAGGUAAAGGCUCACCAAGGCGACGAUCUGUAGCGGGUCUGAGAGGAUGAUCCGCCACACUGGAACUGAGACGCGGUCCAGACUCCUACGGGAGGCAGCAGUGGGGAAUUUUGGACAGUGGGGGCAACCCUGAUCCAGCCAUGCCGCGUGAGUGAAGAAGGCCUUCGGGUUGUAAAGCUCUUUCGGCCGGGAAGAAAUCGCACAGGUUAAUACCUUGUGUGGAUGACGGUACCGGAAUAAGAAGCACCGGCUAACUACGUGCCAGCCGCCGCGGUAAGAC
rnacentral:rRNA from 1 species